AGGUGAGGUAAAUUUUGGGAGGCAUGAUGUUUGGAGGGCAUUUACUUCGUGAGAGGAACCUGUUCUUUAAUCGAUAACCCACGUUAUUUUUUACUUUUUUUAAUAUUUUAUAUACCUCCAUCUUGAAUUAAUAAAAAUAUUUAAUUCUCAAUAUAAAUAUAGUAAGUUAGGUAAAGGUGUAGAUAAUAGAAAAGUUAGAAUGUGUUACAAUAAAACAAAUUUAAGAAUUAAAUUAAUAUAUUAAUUUAUGAAAAAGAAUUUGAUAAGUAAGAAUUUAAAAAUAAUAAAUCUUGAAUCACAUAGUCAAUGUGU
rnacentral:rRNA from 1 species